AUCUGGCUGGCUUAGUUGGUGGAGCAUGUGACUCUUGAUCUCAGGAUUGUGGGUCCGAGCCCCUGUUGGAUG
rnacentral:tRNA from 1 species